GUGUGGAGUUCAUGGGAGUGGAAGCGUGUGUUUUCCGGUGCAUAGGGUGGUGGGAUUGAGCGGUUGAGGCGUUGGAUGGUGACUGAGUGGGUUCGGAGACGAUGGUCGAGGAGCUGUCUGUGUCACAGAAUUGAUCGGGAUGAAUCGUGAUGAUGGGAGAAGAGGGUGUGGAGUUUGAGGUGGAGUAUGUGAAAGGGAGGAAAGUAUCCGCAAUCGUUAUCACAGACACGGCGCUAUGAUGGCAUGGAGGGAGCAUGAGCGCUGGAAUAGAUGUCGUAGUGGUGGUGAGUAUUAUAGUGAAUCGCAGGUGUCCAUCUGCGAAAUAGCGACAAAUGAUCAUGACAAGGUAAUGAAAUUACGAUUCUGCCCUAAAUUGAAAUUUUCAUAUAUAUAUAUAUGUAUAUCAAAAAACAAUAGAACUAGAUUGGAUUGUUCCGCAAGCUUCAGACAGUUUGUACUAUUGGCCAUAUAGAAUAAACACGGUUUAGAGGAUUAGGCAUUGUAAUUGAAGUGGAAGAGAUCGAGUUAUUGAACGACGAAGCAGAAGUACUCAGAACUUGUGAACAGUCAGCUCAACUAUCAAUAAAACUGUGAACUCUGCAUUAGGUUAUGAGAGUCUAAUUGGGGUUGCAAUUGAAUCCUCCUCCAUCCUUGACGUCUUUGCUUGUAUUGUCUAGUUUACUCAUGGAUGGCCGAAGUUUCAUGUUCGCGCAGUUGGAUUUGUGAUUUCUGCUCAAGGAGGAGAGUUUACUUCGCUAUAUGAUUGUGGAUCCGCAAUUGAUAUGUAGGUUUCUAGAGGGUUCAACUGCAGCAUUGUGGAUGAAUGUUGAAAGGGAUUCUUGGACCAAGAAAUGCUGAAAGCUGUGUGCAGCUACAUCUGCGGAAGUUCAGUUCAGCCCAUGUUUUUCUUGGAAAAGUUCCUUCUCUGACGUGGUUAUUCUUAAACGCCGAGUCAUGCAAUUAGCUUCUCAUGAGAAAGCAAAAGUAUGGUCUCUAUUUAACAUGAAGUUAAUGAAAGCUCCACUCUUGCUUUCAAAAUUGUCGAUGUUUAUUUCAGGCGACGGCAAGGGUUUCUUAGAUUGAUUGCAAUGACCUAAUCACAGUGAGAAGAACUACCUUCGUCGUCUUCCUCCACUUCAGAGUCCCUCUCAAACAUUUGGAGAUAGAUGGUUCACAAUCCCGACUC
rnacentral:lncRNA from 1 species